rnacentral:rRNA from 1 species
UACAGAGGUCUCAAGCGUUGUUCGGAUUCAUUGGGCGUAAAGGGUGCGUAGGCGGCGGGGCAAGUCAGGUGUGAAAUCCCAGAGCUCAACUUUGGAACUGCACUUGAUACUGCCCUGCUUGAGCACUGGAGAGGAGACUGGAAUUUACGGUGUAGCAGUGAAAUGCGUAGAUAUCGUAAGGAAGACCAGUGGCGAAGGCGAGUCUCUGGACAGUUGCUGACGCUGAGGCACGAAGGCCAGGGGAGCAAACGGG